AAAGCCAUAUAAAAAAAUAAAAAAAAAGAGUGUGGGCUCAUGAAAUUACUUUCCAAUAAAUAAACCAGAAGAGGACAAUUAAGAUUGACAAUUAAUCUAAUUGAAGGCAAAGCCAUAUUGUCUUCUACAGGAACAAUAUAAUCUGAGGCCAGAGUUUGCAUAAUAAGCAUGUACAAAAUUACUGUUUCAUAUCCUAACUUUGAUUGGGAAGAAUCUUAGCAGGAAGACAACUAAUGGAAAAACAAGUGGCCAAAUUUGAUUCAAU
rnacentral:misc_RNA from 1 species